AAUAUUGCACAAUGGGGGAAACCCUGAUGCAGCGACGCAGCGUGAGCGAAUAAUGCCUUCGGGUCGUAAAGCUAUGUCCUAAGGGAAGAAACGGACGGUACUUUAGGAGGAAGCACUGGCUAAAUACGUGCCAGCAGCUGCGCUAAUACGUAGGGGGCGAGCGUUAUCCGGAAUUAUUGGGCGUAAAGGGUGCGUAGGAGGCCUUUUAAGUCAGAUGUGAAAGGCUACGGCUUAACCGUAGUUAGCAUUUGAAACUAAAAGGCUUGAGUGCAGGAGAGGAGAGUGGAAUUCCUAGUGUAGCGGUGAAAUGCGUAGAUAUUAGGAGGAACACCAGUGGCGAAGGCGACUCUCUGGACUGCAACUGACGCUGAGGCACGAAAGCGUGGGGAGCGAACAGG
rnacentral:rRNA from 1 species